rnacentral:rRNA from 1 species
CGGCGGACGGGUGAGUAACGCGUGGGUAACCUGCCUUACACUGGGGGAUAACAGUUAGAAAUGACUGCUAAUACCGCAUAAGCGCACAGGGCCGCAUGGUCUGGUGUGAAAAACUCCGGUGGUGUAAGAUGGACCCGCGUCUGAUUAGGUAGUUGGUGGGGUAAUGGCCCACCAAGGCGACGAUCAGUAGCCGGACUGAGAGGUUGGCCGGCCACAUUGGGACUGAGACACGGCCCAG